AAUAUUGGACAAUGGGGGGAACCCUGAUCCAGCCAUGCCGCGUGUGUGAAGAAGGCCUUAUGGUUGUAAAGCACUUUAAGCGAGGAGGAGGCUACUAUAGUUAAUACCUAGAGAUAGUGGACGUUACUCGCAGAAUAAGCACCGGCUAACUCUGUGCCAGCAGCCGCGGUAAUACAGAGGGUGCGAGCGUUAAUCGGAUUUACUGGGCGUAAAGCGUGCGUAGGCGGCUUAUUAAGUCGGAUGUGAAAUCCCCGAGCUUAACUUGGGAAUUGCAUUCGAUACUGGUGGGCUAGAGUAUGGGAGAGGAUGGUAGAAUUCCAGGUGUAGCGGUGAAAUGCGUAGAGAUCUGGAGGAAUACCGAUGGCGAAGGCAGCCAUCUGGCCUAAUACUGACGCUGAGGUACGAAAGCAUGGGGAGCAAACAGG
rnacentral:rRNA from 1 species